UACGGAGGGAGCUAGCGUUGUUCGGAAUUACUGGGCGUAAAGCGCACGUAGGCGGCUUUGUAAGUUAGAGGUGAAAGCCCGGGGCUCAACUCCGGAAUUGCCUUUAAGACUGCAUCGCUUGAAUCCAGGAGAGGUGAGUGGAAUUCCGAGUGUAGAGGUGAAAUUCGUAGAUAUUCGGAAGAACACCAGUGGCGAAGGCGACUUACUGGACACAUAUUGACGCUGAGGUGCGAAAGCGUGGGGAGCAAACAGG
rnacentral:rRNA from 1 species